AGCGAACGCUGGCGGCAGGCCUAACACAUGCAAGUCGAACGAACCUUUCGGGGUUAGUGGCGGACGGGUGAGUAACACGUGGGAACGUGCCUUUAGGUUCGGAAUAACUCAGGGAAACUUGUGCUAAUACCGAAUGUGCCCUUCGGGGGAAAGAUUUAUCGCCUUUAGAGCGGCCCGCGUCUGAUUAGCUAGUUGGUUGAGGUAAUGGCUCACCAAGGCGACGAUCAGUAGCUGGUCUGAGAGGAUGAUCAGCCACAUUGGGACUGAGACACGGCCCAAACUCCUACGGGAGGCAGCAGUGGGGAAUCUUGCGCAAUGGGCGAAAGCCUGACGCAGCCAUGCCGCGUGAAUGAUGAAGGUCUUAGGAUUGUAAAAAUCUUUCACCGGGGACGAUAAUGACGGUACCCGGAGAAGAAGCCCCGGCUAACUUCGUG
rnacentral:rRNA from 1 species